GCGCCCGUAGCUCAGUCGGAUAGAGCGUCUGCCUUUGAAGUAGGCAGCGUAAAUCACAUAAGUGGCGCACCU
rnacentral:tRNA from 1 species